rnacentral:tRNA from 1 species
GCAUGCGGUGGAAUACGGUAGUCAUGCGCUCUCCUUGAGUGAGCGGAAGCCAGCGACGUUCAGGCCGCCGUGCGUGCA